CAUUGUCACCUAUAUAAAUUCAUUGUUCGAUCUUUAGAGAGCGCAGUUAGAUAUUUACCUGAAAUAGUUGCUACUCACUUCGUACAAUGGGUUUACCAACGUGGACGUUAUUUAUUGUUCCCACUUUGGCAAUUUUGUCGAUGUCAGAGGGCUUUAAUGUAGAACGUAACGACGAAAACGUGAAUUUGGAAAAGCGCUCCGUUGAUCGUGACUUUGAAAGGCGUUAUAACCACUUGAAAUCGAUGUAUCGAGGCAAUCCGUUCGCUUUUGAUUUCUUUAAAUAUUUUUUAAGAAAUAGGGGACAGGAUAGACACAGAAGACAAAUCGACGUUAGUCUUCCUAGUAAUGGAAAUGGUCCUCGUACAUCCGAUGACAAUAUCAGACAAAGGAGUCCUAUUCAAGGGACUAACAAGAGGGAAGCUACGAAGAGAACGAAGCCUUUUAGGCCACCUAUGGUUUUCUUUUGAAGCAGAAAAGUUGGCCCAGUGUUGUAGGACUCUCUUGCCUUUGCGGUCAGUGUGAUUAAAAAACUAUACUUGUGAUUCUUUUAAUAUUAUUAUUUAAUUUUUGUCAUACUUAAUUGUUAUUUAUUAAUUAUUGAACAGUGUGAUUAUAAAUAAUGCUUAUUCAUAAA